rnacentral:lncRNA from 10 species
GUGAGAGAUCUCUAAAGAUUCACCCAAUCCCAUUGUUCUAAGGUAAUAAAUCCUAUAAUUGCUGUAUCCUCAGAACCCAGCACGGGGCACUGCAUACGGUAGAUCUGCUUAACCAUGUACCAAAUGCAUCCGCCUCUUCCCCAACAUCCAUUACUACUGGAACCCACCAAGAACUGAAUUCCAUGGUACUUCUCAGGAUUCUUGAGGUCUGGACUAAGCCCUGGAUUGGGAAAGACGUGUUUAUGAUGCAGACCAGUUGGGGAGAUUUUUCUUGAAGGAGCAGCAGCUUGGGAAUAGCUGACCUGCACCUGUCAUUCUGGAUAAGGAUAGCAUGUUCAUAAAAGGGAAAUGAGUGGAGAAGGAGGGAAGGAGUUGUGAGCAAAGCAUUUAAAGCGUUGCCAGAAUAUAAGCAACAGUGCUUCAUGUCGUGAAAAACUGAGAAAAGGAGUCUUUAUGUACAGGAAGAACUCAGCAGCUGACCUCAAGAAGAAAGGAAAACAUCCUCUCUUCACUUUUCUCUGGGAUGCCUGUGCCCAGGGUCUUGAGUUUCCGACUGGGGCAUAAUGGAUUUUUGGUGGCCUGUGACUUUAUUAUGGGUCUUUUCCCAAAGUGUUUUGAAAUGGUAUGAAAGAGUGUAUUCAGUUAGAAACCUUGAGUUCUACUCCCAGGCUACUUAGAGGUUGUUUUGCAAACUUGAACAAGUCAAGUAAACCUGACUUCAACUCUACGCAAUGGAUUAUGCAAUGGUUGAAGUUCUAAGCUUGGAAGUUUCCAAUGAGAACAAAUAGGGGUGGUGAGAGCUGCCCUGCCCCUUUCAGGGACAUUAAGAGGGUCACCAGGCAGGUGAAUGUGACAGUGCCCUAAAGUUAUGAAGAAAUCUGUGCAAAACUGUAUGUUGUUAUAGUUCUUCUUGGGGCUGAUGCACCGUGACCCCUUCAACAGUUGAUGAAUCAUGGGAUAAUUGUUGAUGAGUCAUGGGAUAGGUGCUGCUUCAAGGGAUGUGGAUGUAGGUUGGACAGAGGCCGACCCCAACUCUCUACUCAUUUGCACUGUGCAUGGCAAAUUUGUUCUGGGAGUUUCUGCUUUGCUCCUGUCUUAAGCCAUCAGACCACGUGUUCAGUAGUCCAGCCCUGGCCACAGCCUCUCUGCCUGGCUGGGCCCAGGCUACUUCUAAACUCUCUGUUUUUUUUAUUUUAUUUUAUUUUUAUUUUUUUUUAUUUCAGAUUUUAUCCAACAUGGAUGUCUUGAUCCAAGAGAAAAAAAGGGAUCCCUUCAAAGUCCUUUCCCCAGUUUCCUGCUUAGUCCCACUCCUAGAGCCCUAGGGGGUUCUGUAGCUCCUCUAUAUUUUCAGGGAACUGAGCUGAAGCCAAUACGAGAUUUUAAAAGAUACCCUAUCCUUAAGCAAAGUGCAGAUCCUGAGACUCAGAGAGGUUAAGAAACUCGCCCAACGCCACACAGCUAGAUAAACACCUCAGGAUUUAAAUAGAUUGCAGGGGACACCAACAAGGCUCUGCUCAGAUCCCCUCAGAUCCCUCUGGCCCAUCUGUGCAUGCAGUAACAUCUGCUUCACCGUUGACUGCUUGAACCUGUGGAUCCACUUCACCUAAGAGCACAGAGAGCUGAAAGGGCCUGGAAUCCUGUUGCCUCCCGGGCAGCCUGCAGCCAAUGAGUAACUGGUGCUGGAAAACAGAAGGCUGCUCCCUUGCUGGAGGUAGGACAAACACUGAGGUGUAAUCUAUGCUCCAGGGUCCCCCAGGGGAUCAGGCUGAGGUUGGGACUUUGCCUAAAAUCCCACCCUUGCUUGGUUUCUUCCCUUUCCCUGUUUUUCCUUCUUCUCUCACUCUCUCAUUUCUGUUCCUUCUUCCUUAAAUAAAUCUCCUGCACACAAAUUCUCAUCUCAAGGUGUGCCUCUGGGCAGCCUGAUGUGAGAUACAGAUGUGUGUUUGACCUCAGCCUGCCCUUUCUGGAGUCCUGCAGCCUCGCCCCUUGUUUUGUGGGGUUAUCAGAUCUCGCUACGUAGACUCGGGGUACGGAAUACAUCCAGCUUGGAAUUUCUGGGUGCUCGCAAGUUCUCAGUAGAACGCUCUUGGAAUGAAUUACUUAGCCUCUUUAGGCUGCAGUUUCAUCACCUAUAAGACAGAAAUAGUAAUUGUAUUGCUCUUAAAGGACUUUUACUUUGUGGAAAGCCAAUGAGUCUGCAUAUGUAGAACACAGCAGCGAGCACAUAGUAAGUGGUCGAUAAAUCUUCAUGAUUAUGAUUAUCAGUAUUCAAGUAUUUGCCAUCUCGUCAGACCUUGGCUUGUAGUUGGGAGUCAGAAAUGAGGUCACUGUGCUGUGAGUUCUUGUUGGGCAGGAAUCUGCCAUGUGUUCCGUGCACUUUAAGCACUUAUUAAAACAUUUCGGAUAGAAACAUUUUCACAAAGGCUGCUCAUUACUGUAGCCAGCAUUUGCCUACGAAUGUCAGGAAAACCAUUUUAUGAUGUUGCUGUAAUGUGUCGUGUUCACUGUCGCAUUCUCUCUUUCGGUCUCCCUUUCACUGGUGAGACACGUUUGCCAAGCAUUUCACAAAUGCAGUGGGGGGAAAAGGGAAGAGAGGAAGAGAUGGGAAAAGGAUAGUGAAGGGAGGAGCAGGAGCAGGCAGCUCGGCGGCAUUCCCCAGGCACCGCAUUAAGGGCCUGAUUAACUUAAAAUAUUUCCCAGCUUCUGAGGCACUUGAUUAAAGUCAAUUGGGGGGAAAGAAGAUAAGCUCUUACAAGGGCUAAUUUGAGGCUUAGAAAACUUGAAUAUGUCUAAAUCUCAAAUUGUCGGGUGUGUAGCGCUGGUGAUUGUCGGGUCUGUGGGGAGAGCGUUUUAACAUGCUGGCGGUGCAUCCGCGGUACCACCUGUCCCAGCUCCCUGGUCCCCACCCUUCCUCCAGGCAACUGCCUUGCGUCCCCUCCCAUCUUCCCUUUUCUUCCGCUUGUGAGGGCUUAGACGAUUUUGCCUUUUGAAGGCACGGAAAUAGAUGGCUUUACAUUCAGAACACAGCCUCUGCCUCCUUCUUCCUCCCCCAGAUGCCUGGAAAAAUCAAAAUCGGGGUUUAGCAAUGCAGUCCCGUGGCACUCUCUUGAUGUGUUAAUGGGUCGUGCUUGCUGCACUGCCGUCCCAGCCGCCAGGGACACUGUGAUAUGGGCAGAGUUCGCCCUUCCCCAUCAGUGCAGGUGGCAAGGAGCCAGGCAGGGAGCAAUUGUUUUCCUGUCAUGAACCACACUGGGCUAACUUUUGAUCUUUGACAGGGAAUUUCCUGCAAAGAUGCAGAGAGAGCAGGGCUGUAGUCCAGGCCGAUCUGCUCAGCACAGUGAGGAAUCAGGUCUGGGAGGCGUGUUUUGUUGCCACUGGAUGCUGUAUUAGUUUUCUAUUGCUGUAUAACUAAUCACCACAAAUUUAAUGGCUUAAAGCAACGCCCAUUUAUUCGUAUACAGUUUUGUAGGUCAGAAGUCCAGCAUGGUAUGGCUGAAUUCUCUGCUCAGGGUAUCAUAAGACUGAUAUUAAGGUACAGGCUGGAUUGAGUCCUCUACUGGGAGCUCUGGGGAGACAUCUAUUUCCAAGCUCACUCAAAGUAUUGACAGAAUUGGCUUCUUAUGGGUGAAGGACUGGAGUCUGUUUCCUUGCUGGAGGUCAAUCAGGAGCCUCUGUGAGCAACGUAAGGCCACUCACAUUCCUUUUCCUGGGGUCGCCCGCAUCUUCAAACCAACAAAGACAUAGCAAAUCCCCUUGUGCCUCAAAUCUUUCUGAUUCCUCUUCUGCCACCAGCUGGAGAAAAUUCUGCUUUUAAAUGGCUCAUCUGAUUGGGUCAGGCCCACCCAGAUAACCGCUGCUUUUUAAGGUCUGUUGAUUUGGGACUUUACAUCUACAAAAUCCCUUUACCGCAGUACCUCGAUUAGCAUUGGAGUAACUAGGGGACCAGAAUGUUGGGAGUGGGG